UAAUAUAAAUUUAUACUUUAUUUUUGUUUUAAUGUGAAUGUUAAAGGAUGUUUUUAAGAUUUUAGGUAAAAUUAUAAUUUAUUUUUGUUUAUGUUCAUAUUUUUAAGUUUUGGUUAAUGACUUAGAUUAGUACCUAAUUAGUCAAGGGUUAGUAUGAUCAGUAGUAAAGUGGUGUUUAAACUGAAAGAAUAUUGGCAGAUUUUCUAAAUUAUCUUUGGAGGUUGAGUGAUAAUUGAGAACCCUCAUUAACAACUUUUUUAUUAAGCUCAUGUAUGAUCGUUUAUUUUUUGUUUGAGACAAAAAAUAAAAAUUUUUUUGUUAUAAAAAUAGAUAUAUACUUGGUUUAUAUAUUUAGUUAUAUUUGACCUACAAUAUUUUGAGUUUUGGAUUAUUGAAUUAGUAUUAAUAUGAAAUUGUAAAAGACAGUAAAAUAGAUUUUAUGUUUUUUUGAAGAGUAUUUAGAGAUGGUACAAAUCAUCCAUCAAUUGCCUAAA
rnacentral:rRNA from 1 species